rnacentral:rRNA from 1 species
UACGGGGGGGGCAAGCGUUGUUCGGAAUUACUGGGCGUAAAGCGCGUGUAGGCGGCAGCGCAAGUCGGAUGUGAAAUCCCAUGGCUCAACCAUGGAAGUGCACCCGAAACUGCGUCGCUAGAGUCCUGGAGAGGAAGGUGGAAUUCCUGGUGUAGCGGUGAAAUGCGCAGAUAUCAGGAGGAACACCGGUGGCGAAGGCGGGUCUCUGGGCCGAUACUGACGCUGAGGAGCGAAAGCGUGGGGAGCGAACAGG